GCUGGGUGCGGUGGCUCAUGCCUGUAGUCCCAGCUACUUGGGAGGCUGAGGUGGGAGGAUCGCUUGAGCCCAGGAGUUCUGGGCUGUAGUGCACUAUGCCGACUGGGUGUCCACACUAAGUUUGGCAUCAAUAUGGUGACCUCCUAGGAGCAGGUGACCACCAGGUUAUCUAAGAAGGGGUGAACCAGCCCAGGUCGGAAACAGAGGAGGUCAAAACUCCCGUGCUGAUCAGUAGUGGGAUCGCGCCUGUGAAUAGCUAAUGUACUCCAGCCUGGGCAACAUGGUGAGACCCUGUCUCU
rnacentral:SRP_RNA from 1 species